ACGUCAGUAAUGCAACGGAUAGAGCACGAGCUCCCGGACAGAGCGAGGUGCGGGUUCUAGUCCCGCCUGACGCA